rnacentral:rRNA from 1 species
UUUACUGUAAGGAUAAGCACCGGCUAAUUCCGUGCCAGCAGCCGCGGUAAUACGGAAGGUGCAAGCGUUAUCCGGUUUUAUUGGGUUUAAAGGGUGCGUAGGCGGCUUAUUAAGUCAGUUGUGAAAUCCUAGUGCUUAACGCUAGAACUGCAAUUGAUACUAUUAGGCUUGAGUUAAGAAUAGGUAAGUAGAAUUUAUGGUGUAGUAGUGAAAUGCUUAGAUAUCAUAAGGAAUACCAAUAGCGUAGGCAGCUUACUGGUCUUUAACUGACGCUGAGGCACGAAAGCGUGGGGAGCAAACAGGAUUAGAUACCCUGGUAGUCCACGCCGUAAACGAUGAUCACUCGGUAUACAUAAAUUUAUGUGUGUCUAAGCGAAAGCGUUAGUUGAUCCACA